rnacentral:rRNA from 1 species
GAUGAACGCUAGCGGCAGGCCUAACACAUGCAAGUCGAGGGGUAGCAGGAUUAAGCUUGCUUAAUUGCUGACGACCGGCGCACGGGUGCGUAACGCGUAUGCAACCUACCUUAUACUGGGGUAUAGCCCGGAGAAAUUCGGAUUAAUCCCCCAUAGUACUGUUUACCGCAUGGUAAGAUAGUUAAAGCAUUGCGGUAUAAGAUGGGCAUGCGUCCUAUUAGCUAGAUGGUGAGGUAACGGCUCACCAUGGCUACGAUAGGUAGGGGGCCUGAGAGGGUGGUCCCCCACACUGGUACUGAGACACGGACCAGACUCCUACGGGAGGCAGCAGUGAGGAAUAUUGGUCAAUGGACGCAAGUCUGAACCAGCCAUGCCGCGUGCAGGAUGACGGCCCUAUGGGUUGUAAACUGCUUUUAUUUAGGAAUAACUCCCCGGUCGUGCAUCGGGGCUGAACGUACUAAAAGAAUAAGCAUCGGCUAACUCCGU